GAGUUUGUCGGUUGGUCGGGCUUCACUGUUCGCACUGACCUGAUGAAUUCCCACCUUCUGAAUAACCAGCAUGCUAUUAAGUUAGUGCGUUGGGGAAGCAGAGCUAUUACCUUGAAAAAAUUAGAGUGCUUAAAGCAGGCUUAUGCUUGAAUAGAUUAGCAUGGAAUAAUGAAAUAGGACGUUUGAUUCUAUUUUGUUGGUUUCUAGGAUCACCGUA
rnacentral:rRNA from 1 species